GAAAUGCGAUAAGUAAUGUGAAUUGCAGAAUUCAGUGAAUCAUCGAGUCUUUGAACGCACAUUGCGCCCCCUGGCAUUCCGGGGGGCAUGCCUGUCCGAGCGUCAUUGCUGCCCUUCAAGCCCGGCUUGUGUGUUGGGUCGUCGUCCCCUCCGGGGGACGGGCCCGAAAGGCAGCGGCGGCACCGCGUCCGGUCCUCGAGCGUAUGGGGCUUUGUCACCCGCUCGAUAAGGACCGGCCGGGCGCCAGCCGGCGUCUCCAACCUUUUUUUCGCAGGUUGACCUCGGAUCAGGUAGGGAUACCCGCUGAACUUAAGC
rnacentral:misc_RNA from 1 species